CAGAGCCCUGCUGCAGCAAACAGACCCAGCCUGGAGCCACUGCAGAGCUCAGCGAGCACCUGCUCCAGGACUGCAGAGCUCGGUUCGCUCGGAGAGCAGCGUGUGCGGGCUGAGGGAGGCGAUGGAGGAGCCCGGAGCCGGGGGAUGGAGGCAGUGCCGCCGGAGGGCUCGGCGUGGCAGGCACCGAGAGGUGCCCUGAGCUGCUGUUUCUGUGCCCUGCGCUCUCCAUUUCCCACCCUUCCCCUUAACACCUUUUUCCUGUCCCUUGCUGGUUGUCCCCAGGAGCUCCUGCCUUUCCAGCGGCUCCCGCAGAGCAGGAGCAAGGAGCCGAGAGCCCCCCCUCGGUGCCCGCUGUCCGUGUCUCGGCUCUGAGCACGGGAUUCUCCAUCCCGGGGAUGCUGCGGCGCUGCCGUUCCGCUGCUCUGCCGCCAGAGAGCGGACGGGGAUUUCCAUCCUUGCCGGGACCAUCCCGCUGUCCCGGGACAGCCCAGGACAUCCCUACAGCGCCCGGAAUCCUCCCCGGGACAACACGAUACCAUCGGUACGUCCUGGUACCGUCGGGACCCCUCCGGUGCUGCCGGGGUCCCUCCAGUACCGAUCUCUCCAGAGCACAUUUAAUGCCCUCUUCCUCUUCCUCUUCUUUUUUAGCUAUUGCUUUUACCCAAUACAAAAUUCUCAACCAUUCCAGGGCACUUUACUCCUGUCCGUGGGUGACAAAUUCUUCUGGGCAAGACUUCAAUUAUUAAUUAAUGUUUUUAAGAGAAAAGCUGUUUAAAUUGGAUAAAAUUAUGGAUCUUCAGCUCCUGCAGCCUCACUCUGUGAGCAGUGUGGAAUGAUUCCAUUCCAGUCACAUCUCCAGGAGCUUGUUUUCAGGAUCCUUCACAUUCUCAUUCCUGAUGUGGGUGAGCAGCAAUGUCUGGAGACAAUUCCAUGCAGGCAGGAAGAAUAUGCAGUGUAUCUUUUGUGGAGAUUCCCCUUGUUUGGUGGUUUCCCAAACUGAAAUGGAGGAGGAUGUUUUUCCUAUGCACUGAAGGCCGUGUUUGUACCACCUACGAAUUUCUUCAGCUUCAAAACAGCCCUGAGUAAACAGCUGAGGGCUUUGCCAACUCAGUGUUUCCAGCACUUGGAUCUUCCUGUUGAAGAGAUCCCUCAGCAAAGGACAACCUCUUGCUUUAAUUCUUGCUGCUUAGUUCCAGCAGAAAAUCCUUCUCCUGCCUCUGUUCCCAGCCUGAAUCUGUGACGAUGGGGACAAAGGCUCUUCUCUGCCCAGCCCUGCCAGGAGCAGCCAGCCCAAAAUGGAUGUUUGUAUUAAUCCAACACACAAAAUGUGCAACCUGAACUGUGUGCAGAAACGAGUGGAAAAAGUGCAACCUGACCACAAAAGUAUUAUUUUAUAAAUAAGGUCCUUUAGUAGUAGUUAAUUGGAUGCACAUUUUGCUGGAUUCGUGGAACAUUAAAAACUAUCAUAUCCGAA